AACAAUGAGGGGCAAUCCUUCCUCUCCUAACUC
rnacentral:tRNA from 3 species